rnacentral:misc_RNA from 1 species
AAGGAGUAAGUACAACAGGUAAAAAUUAGACCCACCCACCCUCAGGACCCCAAAAAUAACGACAUAAGACGUAACGGUGAGCUUUUAACGCCUGCUUCAUAUACAGGCGACCAAACCGAACAAACGGAGAGAAACGCGGGACACAUUACAGUGCAGCACCAAAUACGCUAUACUCUCUCGUCUCUCAAUCCUUCGUCUCUCUCUCUCCUUACCUCUCUUUCUAUCGUUCCGAAUUUGAUUCGAUUCCUUAGGAAACCCUAACUGACUCUGAAUUUAAAAUGGAAAAAUCUGUGGAGACUACCACCACCACCGAGGUCACCGUCAGGAAAGCUGCAGCAGAGAAAUCGGAGAGGGAUGGGUCUGAUACUAGCAGUGCCAGUGGUGGUUCUGUUUUAGAGGACAAGGAGGGAGGGAUUUGGGAAUAUUUUGGUUGGGUUUAUCAUUUAGGUACCAAUUCUAUUGGUCAUGAGUAUUGUCACCUUAGAUUUCUGUUUAUAAGAGGUAAAUAUGUUCAGAUGUACAAGCGUGAUCCUCAUCAGAACCCUGGCAUUAAACCUAUUAGGAGGGGUGUGGUAGGGCCUACACUUAUGUUGGAGGAGCUAGGGCGUCGACAGGUUAAUCACGGGGAUCUUUAUGUUAUACGGUUUUACAAUCGAUUGGAUGAGACAAAAAAAGGAGAAAUUGCUUGUGCUUCAGCUGGAGAAGCUCGAAAGUGGAUGGAGGCAUUUGAUCAUGCAAAGCAACAUGCUGAAUAUGAGCUCUUAAGAGGAGGUAGUACUAGAAACAAGCUGAAUAUGGAGACUGAGAUCACUCUGGAAGGACAUCGGCCUAGAAUGAGGCGGUAUGCACAUGAAUUAAAAAAGCUUAUAAGAAUAGGGCAAGGUCCAGAGAUGUUGUUGCGUCAAUCGUCAGAUUUGCGACCUGCUAUCAAGUCGGACAGAUAUUUUGAGGGGGAGAUUGGAGAUGCAAUUGAAGCACAUGAAUGGAAAUGUGUUCGUACAAUAAAUGGUGUUCGAAUCUUCGAGGAUGUGUCUGAUUUCAAGAAUGGUAAAGGUGUUCUUGUAAAGGCUGUUGGUGUUAUUGAUACAACUGCUGAUACCGUUUUUGAAGUCAUUUUAAGUGUUGAUCGGCAUCAAAGAUAUGAGUGGGAUACUUUGACUAGUGACUUGGAGCUGUUAGAUUCUUAUAAUGGACACUAUGAUGUUGUCUAUGGGACAUAUGAUCCACAAUAUCUUACUCGGUAAUGUUUUUAGGCUGGAGUGAUUAGUUCUUUACUUUUAUGGAAUGCUUUUUAGUUUUUGUUGUUUUUGUACUAUGUUGUCUAAGGUUGCAUUAGUUUUAUUUGAUUUGACUGACUUUAUGGUUUAUCUACUUUGAGAUCUUGUAGAUAUGUAUUGUUAGGUUUCACAUCUAUUUUGAUGGCUAAACUCCUAGUAAGAUGUGCCAAAUCAUGUAUUAAAAAUGCACUUUUUCUAUUUGAGUUUGUACAAUAAACAAGAAGUUGGGGUUAGAAAUAGAUUUUGGCUUAUGAACUUCUUUAGUUUUUAAUAAAAAGGUGUAGUUAGUUGAAUAGUUUUGAAUUAGAAUGGGAGUUAGUAUGUAAAACCUAAAUGAUUGAGGCUUUUAAUAUCUGGAAAAACAAAGAAAAAUUUUGAAUUAUUCAUAAAAAUGUUUUGCUUUCUGACAAACAUAUGGAACUUCCUUGGUUCAAAUCUAUUAAUGUGUUGUCUACCAACAAAUUUCAUUACAGCACUUCAAUUGGUGGUACUGAGAUCCUUAUUAUUUUCAUUUUCAUCUGGAAUCUGGAUAUAAAUGUGUAACUCAUCAAUAAAUGAAAGGAUAAGGGGAAAAAAAAAUAGUUUUGGUUAAACACUGAUACCCCUACUUGCUAGAAUGCUGCUCAGCCUCAUGUGUUGUCUCCAAAGUAACAAUCUUGUGAUAAUUGUGCGCGUUGUACCAUCAUUAUACCCAAUGCAAAAAUGGUCAAGCAAAUGUGCUAGCCUGUUUGGACAGGUAAUGUGCUUCAAAUAAUCAUUAUGCUAUCACUAAUUCACUAUAUGUAUCCUUCAAUUGCCCAUACCAUUAAUAGCUUUUGCAUAUUAUAGCUUUCUUUUUACUUUGUUUUUGUCAUCAUUGUUUAAAGCUUACAUGUAUGAAAACUUUCCCUGUGUGUCAUGUUUUAGGUUUCUUGAAGAUCACAAGGCAUCCGUUAUUGAAUCCUUACUACAAUGAAAUUGACUUUAACUUCAGCUUGUUCCUAUCCUAUGUCAUUUUUCUUUUCACUUGAUUGACAAUGUCUUUCUCAGGUGGCAAUCCAGAAGAGAUUUUCUCUUCUCAAGGCAAUGGUUUAGCAGCCAGGAUGGAACAUAUAGUAAGCAAACAUCAUUAUAUUGCUUAAUUUAUGAUUACUUCUUAACAUCAAGUUACAUGCAAUGCAAUAUCCUGUGAACCUUUUGAGGCUAGGUGGAUUAGCUUCUGUCUUCUCAGUGUCAGCACCACAUAUACUUUUUGUGCCAAACUUUCUGUUGCUGAAAGACAGCUAUGGUAGUACUGAUCCUAUUACAGUGGCAUAAAAUACUUGGAUCAUUUGCAAUGGUGCUUGGUUGAAGUUGGUUUUGAAGACUUGGACAGUCUGUGGGACUGUAACCUUGGCCCAUAGAGGCGCCACUGAUGUAUACCAAACAUCAGCAUAGAUUAAUUUGCUCACACGUGUCACUACAUGUAUGCAGAGGAAGAGCCCACAUUACAAUUGCAAUUCAAUUGGGCAACAUAGUAUUUAGUUGUGUGUCUGUUAUCUCAUCAAUUUUUUUUUGGCCAAUAUUUUUUUAUACUUCUCUGUGGAUUAUUUCAAGGAUUAAAUUUGCCACCUAUGUGGUUAGCUGAUGCACAUUCAUUUAUUUCUCCAGCCAUCUUGCAAUUUCCAGCUGUACAUAAGACACGACCUCCUAGAUCUGGAUAUCGACGUACAAAAAUCAACCCUUCUACUUGGGAGAUUAGAAAUUUAAACACACCCUUGGAUUCAAAUUCUAUGAGAUGUAUUGUGACACGAACGUUAGAGAUACAUCAUGCAGGAUGGUGUAGAUGGAAGAGAAAUCGCUGCUCAAAGUUUGAAAAGACUCUUCCUUACGCAUUGUUGUCCCAAGUGGCAGGUUUGAAGGAAUAUAUUAGAGCGAAUCCAGCUUUGGAAUCUAAAUAUGCCACUAUAGUUGUCCAUUCCAAAGAUUUUGAUGAUUCUGUCUCUAGUAGUGAAUAUGAUGAUGCAGAAGUAAAGGAUGAGUUCUAUGAUGCGAUUUCUGCUGAUUCAUCAUCAUCUGAAGGGAGUGAUGAUGAAGAUCAUCUAAAGAAUGAGGAAAAGAUAGUGAAAUUGAAGAAUGUUUCAUGGGCCAUCACAAGUUUGGCUUUGAGGCGAACUUCAGGUCUUUUCUCGCCUUGGUACAUGUAAUUCAAUCAAUCAUUAUUUAUGUAAUGGCAUAUUAAUAUCUUUAAUUGUCUUGUGAUACCAUUUGUUUUGCAUUGGUUUUUUGGUGUUCUAAUGUUAUUAAGGGUUCAAGCCAAAGAAGUAGCCUCGCAGGUAGGGGGAAUGUUGCAUACAUUGAACCCUCUACAAAUCUUGUGAAGUGGGAAGUCUUGUACACUAGGACACCCAUUUUUAUUAGAUAAAAUUUUUGUUGAUAAAGUAUAAGUAAAGCACAAACUUUGAGGAGUAAAAAUUGUAUAUUUGCAUUUGGUCAUAUGUUUUGCCUUUUCUUUGUUGACAUGCUUUGAGAAUCAAUGUGGUUUACAAAAAAUGAAUGCUUAUGUAUGGAUAGGUCGUUAAUGAUAGAGCUAUUGAUGUGUAACAUCCAAAAUUAUAGGUUUAUUGUUGUAGUCAUUCCUAGAAAGGGAAACCUCUUGCCACUACGACUAUAUCAAUUAAUGAGAGUUCAUGGCCACUAUUGAUAACUUUGAAUAAGUAGCAAUAGUUGACAAAACAUUUACAGUUUUCUAUUCAUUGGCUGUUAGACUAAAUAAUAUUACAUUGUUAUUUCCUUUUCCACCAUCUAGUUUCUGUACUAAAUUAUUGUGGAUGCAGUUCUGGAUGUAAAUAAGGAAUUGGAUCCUUGUGAAACUCUAAUGGAUAUUGAUCUAAGCCAAUUCCAUGGCUCCCUACCCAAAGGGAAGGAUGAGAAGGACUCAAAUUGUUGGACCUCUCCAAGUGGCAUGGGAUUUAUGAUUAGAGGAAAGACUUACCUAAAGGAUAACUCUAAGGUAAUGGGUGGGGAUCCCCUUCUCAAGCUCUUAGCUGUUGACUGGUUCAAAGUUGAUAGUCCCAUGGAUAGAGUUGCAUUGCAUCCCGAAUGUCUAGUGCAGACACAGGCCGGGAAGAAGCUUCCAUUUAUACUUGUCAUUAAUCUUCAGAUUCCAGGAAAACCAAACUACAGUUUGGUACUCUACUAUGCUGCAGAAAGGCCAGUAAAUAAAAGUUCUUUGUUGAGUAAAUUUGUUGAUGGGACAGACAUUUUUCGGGAUUCAAGAUUUAAACUAAUUCCAAGUAUCAUUGAGGGAUAUUGGAUGGUCAAGCGUGCUGUGGGGACAAAAGCUUGCCUUUUGGGGAAAGCUGUAUCCUGCAAGUACCUCAGACAAGACAAUUUUCUGGAGAUUGAUGUAGAUAUUGGAUCAUCCUCAGUUGCAAGGAGUGUGAUUGGCCUUGUCCUUGGAUAUGUCACAAGCUUAGUUGUUGAUCUUGCAAUUUUGAUAGAGGUGGCAUUUAUUUCUAAAUGAAGUUUCCUUCUGAUAUUUACUUGUGUGCACUUGAUAUUGUAAAUGGCGAUGAACCAUGACUUGUCAUGCAGCUUUUCCCCAUCUAUGAAAUAUUUACCAUAAACAAAUGAAGUGAUCACUGAUACUUUUCUGCUGGUAUGCUCUGGAAAUUAAUGGUAGCUUUUUGAAAAUUUAAUAAAGGCUUAGUUGAGAUGAUUUGAAUAUCUCAUUCUUUCUUGGGUGCAUAAUUGCAUGUGUUGCAUGUUAAAAUAUAUGUACCACUACAGCAGCUUGUUUCAAAUACUUGCAAUCUUGAAAUGAAUUUUUGUGAUCAUGACAUUUUAAUUAUUUGAAGUACUCUUAUCGAAGAAUUAAUUUAUAUUUUCUCAUGACACUUAAGAAUUUCAUUGCGUACCGUACACGUUUGGCUUUAAGUGGGCUAAAAAGCAGCAGCAGACUGGCAACUUACCUCAUUAGGGAUGAUUGUGUUCACAAAAGCCAAUUUGAAGUCCUCGAAAAAGGAAAUAAGCCCAUUUAUGGGGGUGGAUCCUGAAACCAAAGCUGGCACCAAUUACUGUUUGAUUGUGCUUCUCUUAGCUGACUGGCUACUGAUCACCCCAUUGACAUGGUGAAGAAAAAGGCUUGAUCUAAAGUCGAAACUACGUAAUUGAUGAGGAUAUAAGUUUACAUACUUAGAUGUUAAAUCUAAUCCUAUAGUUGAAAGGAUCAAUUUGUUGUGGGACUGUUCACAGUUGUCUACAACCUUGAUGUGUCUUCUGUUGCUUUCCCGGUGCACAUUUUUCAAUUGCAUUUCUUUUUAUGGUUAAAUCAAAAGAGUAAUGAGCACUGUGGGUCAUACAAGUCACAUUUGUUUGCCAAUUUUUCAGCAAUAAUGCUAGCAAGUCGUAUUAUAAUUGGAAGAAACUUUUUAGUCAUUCUGUUAAUAUGUCCCACUUCCACAGCGACAAUUAUUGAUCGACAUUACUGAAUACAUGCAUGUCAUACAUAAUUAUAAAUUGCUUGUCAACUGCUGUGUUUGCAGGCAAAAGAAGAAGAAGAGUUGCCUGAGUAUAUUCUUGGCACUGUCCGGCUAAAUCGUGUGAGGGUUGACACUGCAGUACCUUUGGAGGCUUAGGGUAUUCAUUUGUCAACAUUCUUAUUCAUCACAUUUUCAUUUUUUCCAUAUUAGUUUUUGAUUAUUAGAUCAUGACUAUAAGGAUUUGGCUUUCCCAAUAAUUAUAUGUACAAAAGUAUGAUUUAUAUAUACACCUCAUCACACACACACACACACAC